UUUCACGGAGAAUCCAUCACUUUUGCGGUCCUCACUAUUUCCCUCAAAUUCCGCUUCUGCGGUCCCCCACUCGCAGAAGCGAGUCCGCCUCUGCGGAAACACAACCACUUCCGCGGUUCCUGGCCUCAUGGCCCCCUUCCGCUCCUGCGAUUGACAAUGUGCUUUUGCGGUGCCACUUCUGCGGUCGCCAAGAUGCAGAAGCGGAAACAAC
rnacentral:lncRNA from 1 species